UGGCGGCAGGCCUAACACAUGCAAGUCGAGCGGCAGCGGGUCCUUCGGGAUGCCGGCGAGCGGCGGACGGGUGAGUAAUGCCUAGGAAUCUGCCUGAUAGUGGGGGAUAACGUUCGGAAACGGACGCUAAUACCGCAUACGUCCUACGGGAGAAAGCGGGGGAUCUUCGGACCUCGCGCUAUCAGAUGAGCCUAGGUCGGAUUAGCUAGUUGGUGGGGUAAUGGCUCACCAAGGCGACGAUCCGUAACUGGUCUGAGAGGAUGAUCAGUCACACUGGAACUGAGACACGGUCCAGACUCCUACGGGAGGCAGCAGUGGGGAAUAUUGGACAAUGGGCGAAAGCCUGAUCCAGCCAUGCCGCGUGUGUGAAGAAGGUCUUCGGAUUGUAAAGCACUUUAAGUUGGGAGGAAGGGCAGUAAGCUAAUAUCUUGCUGUUUUGACGUUACCAACAGAAUAAGCACCGGCUAACUUCGUGCCAGCAGCCGCGGUAAUACGAAGGGUGCAAGCGUUAAUCGGAAUUACUGGGCGUAAAGCGCGCGUAGGUGGUUCAGCAAGUUGGAUGUGAAAGCCCCGGGCUCAACCUGGGAACUGCAUCCAAAACUACUGAGCUAGAGUACGGUAGAGGGUGGUGGAAUUUCCUGUGUAGCGGUGAAAUGCGUAGAUAUAGGAAGGAACACCAGUGGCGAAGGCGACCACCUGGACUGAUACUGACACUGAGGUGCGAAAGCGUGGGGAGCAAACAGGAUUAGAUACCCUGGUAGUCCACGCCGUAAACGAUGUCGACUAGCCGUUGGGUUCCUUGAGAACUUAGUGGCGCAGCUAACGCGAUAAGUCGACCGCCUGGGGAGUACGGCCGCAAGGUUAAAACUCAAAUGAAUUGA
rnacentral:rRNA from 1 species